CCCCUGGAGGCAUUGUAUGUGUGGCUACUGUGUCACAUGUUUGGCAGCAACUGACACAGAGGUGAGAGUCUAAGAUUCCAUUUAGUGUUUUCACCUGUGCACAUCCGAAUUGUUAGUAACCUUACACU